UUACACAGCCAUCGUUUACUAGAAAAUAGUUGUCCUACUUGGAUAACUGUGGCAAUUCUAGAGCUAAUACAUGCGAAAAAACUCAGACCGCAAGGAAUGAGUGCAUUUAUUAGAAUAAAAACCAAUCGGGUGUAAAAAGCCCGUCAUUUGGUGAAUCUGAAUAACUUUGCCGAUCGCACGGUCCUAGUACCGGCGAUGUAUCUUUCAAGUGUCUGCCUUAUCAACUUUCGAUGGUAGGUUAUACGCCUACCAUGGUAGUAACGGGUAACGGAGAAUAAGGGUUCGACUCCGGAGAGGGAGCCUGAGAAACGGCUACCACAUCCAAGGAAGGCAGCAGGCGCGCAAAUUACCCACUUCCAGAACGGAGAGGUAGUGACGAAAAAUAACGAGACAGUCCUCUUCGAGGUCUGUCAUCGGAAUGGGUACAAUUUAAAUCCUUUAACGAGGAUCUAUUGGAGGGCAAGUCUGGUGCCAGCAGCCGCGGUAAUUCCAGCUCCAAUAGCGUAUAUUAAAGUUGUUGCGGUUAAAACGCUCGUAGUUGGAUCUGCGGUUUUCGGAGAACGGUCCCCCGAAAGGGCGGUCACUGUUACUCCAAGCCUAUAUAUUCAGUCCGUUCUACGGUGCUCUUAACCGAGUGCCUAGAUCGACUGGAACGUUUACUUUGAAAAAAUUAGAGUGCUCAAAGCAGGCGGAAUAGCCUGAAUAAAGGUGCAUGGAAUAAUGGAAUAGGACCUCGGUUCUAUUUUGUUGGUUUUCGGAAUCUGAGGUAAUGAUUAAGAGGAACAGACGGGGGCAUUCGUAUUCCGGCGCUAGAGGUGAAAUUCUUGGACCGCCGGAAGACGGACGACUGCGAAAGCAUUUGCCAAGAAUGUUUUCAUUAAUCAAGAACGAAAGUUAGAGGUUCGAAGGCGAUCAGAUACCGCCCUAGUUCUAACCGUAAACGAUGACAACCAGCGAUUAGUCGGCGUUAAUAUAAGACCCGACUAGCAGCUUCCGGGAAACCAAAGUUUUUCGUUUCCGGGGGAAGUAUGGUUGCAAAGCUGAAACUUAAAGGAAUUGACGGAAGGGCACCACCAGGAGUGGAGCCUGCGGCUUAAUUUGACUCAACACGGGAAAUCUCACCCGGCCCGGACACCGUAAGGAUUGACAGACUGAGAGCUCUUUCUUAAUUCGGUGGGUGGUGGUGCAUGGCCGUUCUUAGUUGGUGGAGCGAUUUGUCUGGUUAAUUCCGAUAACGAACGAGACUCUGGCCUAUUAAAUAGUCGGUAUAUCUAGAAAAAGUAUACCGCACUUCUUAGAGGGACAACCGGCGUCUAGCCGCGUGAAAUAGAGCAAUAACAGGUCUGUGAUGUCCUUAGAUGUCCGGGGCUGCACGCGCGCUACA
rnacentral:rRNA from 1 species